AUUGAACGCUAGCGGCAGGCCUAACACAUGCAAGUCGAACGAGCGGCGGACGGGUGAGUAAUGUAUGGGGACUGCCCGGUAGAGGGGGAUAACUACUGGAAACGGUGGCUAAUACCGCAUACUAUCGGAUGACCCAUAUGGGAUUAGCUAGUAGGUGGGGUAAAGGCUCACCAAGGCGACGAUCUCUAGCUGGUCUGAGAGGAGGACCAGCCACCCUGGGACGGAGACACGGCCCAGACUCCUACGGAGGCAGCAGUGGGGAAUAUUGGACAAUGGGCGCAAGCCUGAUGCAGCCAUGCCGCGUGUAUGAAGAAGGCCUUAGGGUUGUAAAGUACUUUUGGCAGGGAAGCGGUACCUGCAGAAUAAGCACCGGCUAACUACGUGCCAGCAGCCGCGGUAAUAC
rnacentral:rRNA from 1 species